GGGAAUCGCUCGGCAGACUGCGGGCCUGAGGGACGCAGGGGGUCGCCGGAACAGUAGGUGGAGCGGUGAUAUGCGUAGAUAUCUACUGGAACGCCAAAGGUGAAGACAGGCGACUGGGCCGUUUCUGACGCUCAGGCACGAAAGCGUGGGUAGCGAACGGGAUUAGAUACCCCGGUAGUCCACGCCCUAAACGAUGUGCACUAGAUCGAGGAGGCUCUGACGUCAUCUCGGUCGAAGCAAAAGUAUUAAGUGCACCGCCUGGGGAGUACGGUCGCAAGGCUAAAACUCAAAGGAAUUGACGGGGACUCACACAAGCGGUGGAGCAUGUGGCUUAAUUCGAAGCAACGCGAAGAACCUUAUCCUGGGUUUGACAUGCAUGGAUUAACGCUUGGAAACAGGCGCCACGCCUUUUAGGUGGAACAUGCACAGGUGCUGCAUGGCUGUCGUCAGCUCAUGCUGUGAAGUGUCGGGUUAAGUCCCUUAACGAGCGAAACCCCUAUCACUAGUUGCCAGCGAGUCAUGUCGGGGACUCUAGUGAGACUGCCGGUGUCAAACCGGAGGAAGGUGGGGAUGACGUCAAGUCCUCAUGGCCUUUAUGCCCAGGGCUGCACACGUGCUACAAUGCGGCGGACAGAGCGAAGCGAUACCGCAAGGUGGAGCAAAUCGCAAAAACCGUCGCCCAGUUCGGAUUGGGGUCUGCAACUCGACCCCAUGAAGGUGGAAUCGCUAGUAAUCGCGUAUCAGCAACGACGCGGUGAAUACGUUCCUGAGUCUUGUACACACCGCCCGUCACGUCAUGGGAGCCGGUAGCGCCCGAAGUCGCCUCGAUUCAGAGGUGCCCACGGCGAGACUGGUGACUGGGACGAAGUCGUAACAAGGUAGCCGUAGGGGAACCUGCGGCUGGAUCACCUCCUU
rnacentral:rRNA from 1 species